rnacentral:lncRNA from 1 species
CUCGCCCAGCCAGGAAUCCAGGAAUGUGCAGCAUGGAUGCCCAAGUCUGAGUGGAGGUUGCAUCAGUUUCAAAGACAUUGUGCUCUUCCCUGCCGUGGUGGAGUGGUGAGCCGGUUGACAUCCCGGAAAAGGUUGUUAGGGAGUGGAGGUGGGUGGAAGGAGCUGGGAGGUGACAAGACAGCCUACCUGUAGACCCACUCCAGGGCCUCCUUUCUGCUGAGAGCUGGGAAGACAACAGGACAACCUGCCUGCAGAGAGGAGCUUCCAACUCCAGGGUCUCCUCUGUGCUAGGAGCUGAACACUUGAUGCGACACCCUGGCUGCGUAAAGGAGCUACCCACUGUGGGUCCUCUGUGAGAUGUUCUAUUGCUCAAUAAAGCUCCUCUUCAUCUUGUUCACCC